rnacentral:rRNA from 1 species
UACGUAGGGUGCGAGCGUCAAUCGGAAUUACUGGGCGUAAAGCGUACGCAGGCGGUUCGUUGUGUCUGAUGUGAAAGCCCCGGGCUCAACCUGGGAACUGCAUUGGAAACUGGCGGACUUGAGUGUGGCAGAGGGGGGUGGAAUUCCGCGUGUAGCAGUGAAAUGCGUAGAGAUGCGGAGGAACACCGAUGGCGAAGGCAGCCCCCUGGGCCAACACUGACGCUCAGGCACGAAAGCGUGGGGAGCAAACAGG